CCUACGGGAGGCAGCAGUAGGGAAUCUUCCACAAUGGGCGAAAGCCUGAUGGAGCAACGCCGCGUGGGUGAAGAAGGUCUUCGGAUCGUAAAACCCUGUUGUUAGAGAAGAAAGUGCGUGAGAGUAACUGUUCACGUUUCGACGGUAUCUAACCAGAAAGCCACGGCUAACUACGUGCCAGCAGCCGCGGUAAUACGUAGGUGGCAAGCGUUAUCCGGAUUUAUUGGGCGUAAAGGGAACGCAGGCGGUCUUUUAAGUCUGAUGUGAAAGCCUUCGGGUUAACCGGAGGAGUGCAUUGGAAACUGGGAGACUUGAGUGCGGAAGAGGAGAGUGGAACUCCAUGUGUAGCGGUGAAAUGCGUAGAUAUAGGGAAGAACACCAGUGGCGAAGGCGGCUCUCUGGGCUGUAACUGACGCUGAGGUUCGAAAGCGUGGGUAGCAAACAGGAUUAGAUACCCCAGUAGUC
rnacentral:rRNA from 1 species